UACGUAGGGGGCAAGCGUUGUCCGGAAUCAUUGGGCGUAAAGAGCGUGUAGGCGGCCCGAUAAGUCCGCUGUGAAAGUCCAGGGCUCAACCCUGGAAUGCCGGUGGAUACUGUCGGGCUCGAAUCCGGAAGAGGAUGAGUGGAAUCCUGGGAUGUGAGCGGGUGGAAAUGACGCAGAUAUCAGGAAGAACACCCGUGGCGAAGGCGGCUCUCUGGGACGGUACUGACGGCUGAGACGCGAAAGCGUGGGGAGCGAACAGG
rnacentral:rRNA from 1 species